AAAGACUCAAUUCUUGGGUUUUCGUGUCCAACAUUUAACCGUUUAUUUUAUAUAAAUUUUUUUUAAUUACUAUUUUUAUUAUUGUUAGAUGAUAAAACAUGAAUAAUACUUUAUGCAUGACUUAUCUUUUAUUUUUUUUAAAAAAAAAUUAAAUAAGAUAGACGGUUAAACGUUAGACACAGAAACCUAGGAAUUGAGUUUUU
rnacentral:pre_miRNA from 1 species